rnacentral:tRNA from 1 species
GGGCGAUUAGCUCAGCUGGUUAGAGCGCUACAUUCACAUUGUAGAGGUCAUAGGUUCAAGUCCUAUAUCGCCCA